rnacentral:rRNA from 1 species
GAAUUUUAUACAGAUUAAAUUAUUUAAAUUUAGUUGGAAAAAUAUAAUUAGAUGUAUUUAAUUGGGAGGAUUGUUAAAUUAGAUAAACUUUAAUUAAUUUAUGAACAUAAAUUAAUGAAUUAAAGAAUGGCUAUUAAGUUAAAUAAGAAUUAAUUACCUUAGGGAUAACAGCGUAAUAUUUUUGGAGAGUUCAUAUUAAUAAAAAUGUUUGC